AGUGAACGCUGGCGGUAGGCCUAACACAUGCAAGUCGAACGGCAGCACAGUAAGAGCUUGCUCUUACGGGUGGCGAGUGGCGGACGGGUGAGGAAUACAUCGGAAUCUACUUUUUCGUGGGGGAUAACGUAGGGAAACUUACGCUAAUACUGCAUACGACCUACGGGUGAAAGCAGGGGAUCUUCGGACCUUGCGCGAUUGAAUGAGCCGAUGUCGGAUUAGCUAGUUGGCGGGGUAAAGGCCCACCAAGGCGACGAUCCGUAGCUGGUCUGAGAGGAUGAUCAGCCACACUGGAACUGAGACACGGUCCAGACGCCUACGGGAGGCAGCAGUGGGGAAUAUUGGACAAUGGGCGCAAGCCUGAUCCAGCAAUACCGCGUGGGUGAAGAAGGCCUUCGGGUUGUAAAGCCCUUUUGUUGGGAAAGAAAAGCAGCAGGUUAAUACCCCGCUGUUCUGACGGUACCCAAAGAAUAAGCACCGGCUAACUUCGUG
rnacentral:rRNA from 1 species